CCGGGCCCGGCAUGGUGCGGCGUCGCCGCCGAUGGCGCUGAGGCGGAGCAUGGGGCGGCCGGGGCUCCCGCCGCUGCCGCUGCCGCCGCCACCGCGGCUCGGGCUGCUGCUGGCGGCUCUGGCUUCUCUGCUGCUCCCGGAGUCCGCCGCCGCAGGUCUGAAGCUCAUGGGAGCCCCGGUGAAGCUGACAGUGUCUCAGGGGCAGCCGGUGAAGCUCAACUGCAGUGUGGAGGGGAUGGAGGAGCCUGACAUCCAGUGGGUGAAGGAUGGGGCUGUUGUCCAGAACUUGGACCAGUUGUACAUCCCAGUCAGCGAGCAGCACUGGAUCGGCUUCCUCAGGUGCAGGCCUGUGGGGGAAGGUGUGGGCUGCCAGCCAGGGGGCAGGCUAUGCUCUUUCCUUGGGGAUUGGGAGCUGGGGCCCUCUCCUGAUGCCCAGAGGUCUGUGGUUUUUUUAUUUGGCUACCUGUGGGACUUUCCAGAAGUGGGGGCAGGCUGAACUCAUCAAGUUUGCCCAGCAGAGCUGCCGCCCUUGCCCUCGGAAGCAAGCCUCGUAUCCUGUUUCCACAGCCUGAAGUCAGUGGAGCGCUCUGACGCCGGCCGGUACUGGUGCCAGGUGGAGGAUGGGGGCGAAACCGAGAUCUCCCAGCCAGUGUGGCUCACAGUAGAAGGUGAGGAGGCAGAGCCAUAUGGGCGUGUUGGCCUGGAGCACGUGCUGUCUGCUGGUGACUAUACCUCUGCAGCGGAGAACUCAGUAGAAGCUGGGCUGCCCCACUGCUCUGUGGGGCCUGGUUGUCCAGGCUGUAGGCCCACUCCAGAUGUCGGAAGACCCUACCAGUUGGAGUUGGGUAUCUGAGAACCAAGGGACCAACUGGGAUCCACAACCUGUGGGGUGCAGUCUGUUUCCGUUGCUUGAGCAACAAGCUUCAAGCAUCCAUCUGGGACUGGACCCUGUUCUGCCAAGUGGCCUGGCCAGCAGGGGGAGGGGAGGAAGGCUCUGCAGCUGCGGGAGCUCAGAGCUGUUCAGCCCAGGAAAACAAAGUGACUAAGAAAGUAACAAAGGGCCCUGAAUGGGAGCUGGGGCCUGGCAGCAGAACUCUGCUAAAGCUCCCACCCACUCCCCUGAGUUUUAUGCCCCUCUCCCAGCUCUCCACCCCCAGUCUCCUCUCUUACUGCAAGAAGAGCUGUCCAAAUCUGCCAUGCCUAAGGGGGCAGCAUGGAAGACGUGUCUAAGGUGCCAGGCAUGGUGGCGUGUGCCUGUAGUCCCAGCUACUCCGGAGGCUAAGGCCAGAGGAUCACUUGAGCCCCCAGGAGUUCCAGGCCAGCCUGGGCAACAUAGAGAGACCGCCCCACCACCAAUCUCAAAAAAAAAAAAAAAAAA
rnacentral:sRNA from 1 species